UAUGCUGAUGAUUAACAUUAAGUGAACAAUCUCUGAUCAAUAGCCUCGCAAGGGUUAUUGGACUGAUUAAAAACUAUGUUGCCUUCCUUCUGAAU
rnacentral:snoRNA from 1 species